rnacentral:rRNA from 1 species
UACGUAGGGCGCAAGCGUUGUCCGGAAUUAUUGGGCGUAAAGAGCUCGUAGGCGGUUUGUCGCGUCUGUCGUGAAAGCCCAGGGCUUAACCCUGGGUCUGCGGUGGAUACGGGCAGACUAGAGGCAGGUAGGGGAGAACGGAAUUCCCGGUGUAGCGGUGAAAUGCGCAGAUAUCGGGAGGAACACCGGUGGCGAAGGCGGUUCUCUGGGCCUGUACUGACGCUGAGGAGCGAAAGCGUGGGGAGCGAACAGG